rnacentral:snoRNA from 1 species
CAUGUGUGUAAUGUACGGAGGAAAAACAAAUGCAGCGCUAUGUCUUCGGUGCCGGUGUGUGUUCCAUCGUCUGCCGGUUCUAUCCUCAAUCGCUGCUACAUUC